rnacentral:rRNA from 1 species
GACGAACGCUGGCGGCGUGCCUAACACAUGCAAGUUGAGCGACGAACCAGGGCUUGCCCUGGGGCAAAGCAGCGAACGGGUGAGUAACACGUGGGUAACGUGCCCCGAUAACCGGGACAACCCGAGGAAACUCGGGCUAAUACCGGAUGUGCCCAUCAGACACCAGUCUGAUGUGUAAAGGAAGCUUCGGCCUCCGUAUCGGGAGCGGCCCGCGGCCCAUUAGUUAGUUGGUGAGGUAACGGCUCACCAAGACCGCGAUGGGUAGCUGGUCUGAGAGGACGAUCAGCCACACUGGGACUGAGACACGGCCCAGACUCCUACGGGAGGCAGCAGUGGGGAAUCUUGCGCAAUGCGCGAAAGCGUGACGCAGCAACGCCGCGUGGGGGAAGAAGGCCUUCGGGUUGUAAACCCCUUUCAGUUGGGACGAAGCUUCGCCGGUGAAUAGCCGGCUGGAGUGACGGUACCUUCACAAGAAGCCCCGGCUAACUACGUGCCAGCCGCCGCAGUAACAC